GUGGUCUCCAUUCACAUAGAUGGAUCGUGGUAGGCCUUGCUGAAGUGGCCUCUGCCGUCCGGGUCGUCCUUCUAGAAUUCGCGGUGCAGUUAUUAGGUGUAUCGAUCUGCAUCAUCUCCAUCAUCCGGGUCGUCCUCAUGCGAUCCGUGGGAUAGUCAUUGGGCGUAAUGGUCGGUGAUGCCAUGGUGCGUCCAUGUCGGGACCUCGUGUGGGUGAUCGUCUGUCCGAUGAUGAUUUACUAUGUGAGGGCCGUCCUGCUGUUCAUCGUGUCGUUGGCUCUGCAUCUACUGGGGUUCGAGGUCAGACUUCAUCUGCUGCUGAUUUGCGUCGACGGCACAAAGAGAUCCGACUGGGAAACGUCCUGUUAAUUGCGAUGUUGUUGCAGAUCACGCGGAGCCGUUGUGUGCACUCAACCUUCUACUACUUUGUGUGUGCUAUUUUGUAUUACAGGUUAUCAGGCUUAGAUCUGCUUGCAUAUUCCUUCAUUGUUUUGUGUCAGUUUGAUAUGAAUACGUAGCCUACCUUAUGUAUUGGAAACUGUUGUUGAAACCGUUGCUGGGUGAUGUCCAGUUCGAGGAAUGGCUGCAUUUGUGUUUGCAUUCAUGUGUUUAUAGAUCAAUGUUAGUACUAACAUAUUGAGUGACAUCACGUAAUCUUGCCGAUUUUUAAUCUCAUACUAGUAAGCUUGCACGUGCAACGCACGUCUCUGCUAAUGCUCUUUUCGAAGAUAGAUCCACUCCCAAUCAUAUACACCUUGUCUACAUGUCUCGUACCACCGUAUAUUUAUAGUUGUUGAUGGUAGUAUAAGAUGACACACACACAAAAAACAGCCAAGGUAACAUUCACCAUAUAGGCCCGAAACCAUGUUUUCAGGCCCUUACAUCUAGCAAGAGAGGUUCAAAGUUGUUUUAUGUCAUUUUUUUCAUAACUUGUCUCCAUAUAAAUAGAGGUCAUUGAUGGUACUUUCAAAGACUGAACAUUUUGAUUUAUCACAAACUACAUAAAAUAGAUAUGUGUGAACACCAUGUAUUUUGGGAUCAGUGUUGCAACUUGCAAAUUAUACCUUUCUCCCCAAGAAAUUUACAAAGGUAUGCAUCAAUGUUUGAUUCUGCAAUGUCAGAUGCGAAGAAAGCACUCGUACAUUUUCAAGGCAACAUUAUUUCCAAUCAAACGUCAUGCACAUUGCCUGGCUUCUUUUACCCUGGAGAUGAAUUCAUCCAGAGAAUCUUGUAGACCAUCCAUCACAUUGUUUUGCCUGCAAUUCCAGUAUGUACAAGUACAGCACCAUUCAACAGGGUGCACAUGCACAGAAAAAGAAGUAAAAGAGACAAGUUGGGAGUUGUACAUUACUAACUGAAAAUGAUCUUUUAUCCAUUUUCUUAAAAGAUUCCCUUAUUGUUGAUUCUUCUUGGUAAGUAAAAGUAGGAAGAC